AGUAGCUUUUAAAGCUGGGCCUUAGUGGGACUCUAAAUGCAAUGAAAGCAGUCUGUGUUGAGAGACUGAAAUGCAUUUCAAAGCCAGGCCUGAUUCGGGGUACAAGGAAGAACAGACCUAUGUGCAUUUUGUAGGAAGAAAACUGUGAAUGGAAAAAGGAGAAGGGGAGAGAAACGGGGGAAAUCUGGAUAAUACAUUAAAGUAACCAUAAUUUUGGAGAUGCAUUCAUCUUAUUGAAAAUAUGUACGUAACCAGUGAUACCGAAGUCGGAUAUUUGCUCAAUCAGGAUGCUCAACAAUUUGAGCCUUUAAAGUUUGGAGCUGCAUGGGUUUGUGGAGAAAGUCGGCUCGUGAUAUUUCCUCAUGGUUGUGAUUCCUCUUCACUCUUUUGAAUUUGGAAGGAUGGCAUACACAUCUGAAAAAUACCACUACUUCCUUCAUUGGACUGCAAGGUAUUUCUGUUUGGAAAAGUAAUGGAGUCCAGUCAACUUCAUUGAUCGCCAAGGACUGUCAAAAUUAUAAAACUUGCUGUGGAGCUCUGACAUGCCAGAAGCCGCUAGAAAAAGAAGUUUGACAUUCAGAAACUUAUCAAGAGGUUCUACUCUUUGGAUAGAGACCAAAAUCAUACUUUGAAAAAGCCUGACAGGUUUCUUCGGAAAAGUGGCCAUCCAUGGAAUGAAUGAAAUGUUCUCUUUCUAUUCCAGGGAUUGCAGUGGCAAAGCUAGGCUAGGUCUUGGAGGCUGGUGUAAGGCGAUGUGGGUGAAGGCAGGAGGCUGAUGGAAAGACUGGGGGGAAGAAAAGCCGAAAUGGAUUCACGGUGCCUUGGAUGAAGGACGAGAGGGGAACUGCAAGCUCCUUCAACUGGUUCUGUCCGGUGAGAAGUGAUCAAGCUUGGGCUGACAAGAGGCUCAGGGAGCCCUCACGUUCUUUCGCUUUUUUACCUGCCAAUCAAACUGCUACAAGACAACACCCUGAUCUGGCAUGGACAUAUCCAACUUAGAAAUAAUGUUUCAUUCAAGAUAAGGCUCGUGGCUUAGGAGAUUGUGACCUGGCUUGCAUCAUUCUAAGACUUCUAUCGUCUGUUUUCAAAACCCAAGGAGGACCUCCUUUUCUGUGUGAUAGUUCCUCAUGCUUUGCCAGCCACUGGGUCUUUAAGGAAGCUUGCCAAGAGUUCCCGGCUGGGAAGGACAGUUCGAGUUCAUCAUAGACAAUGAGCUGGCACCACAGUUUAAGUGACUCACCAACCUGGUUGCCCACUUCAAAAUGUCAAGAACCACACUAUCUAAUUGAAAGAACUGUGUUUUAGCAAAGUGUAAUUGGAUCGCCUGGCAAGAUCAUCUCAAACUAUGUCUCUGACCUUGCCUUUCAGUGGCUAUUUUGAGCACAAGAGGAGAAAGGAAAUGAUUCCUGAAUUAUAUCUUGUUUUUAAAAAUUAAGAUUAAUUAAUACUUGGUUUUAUGUUCAUUCCAUUGUAGGAACUUAGUGAUUAUUACAAAACAGUCAAAAUAGGUCAUAGCAAAAUGAACGUUUAAGAUUAGGUUAAAACAUUCCUCUGAAAUUUUAGUAUUCACUUUUGAAGUGUCAAUUACUAUAUUUCUGUAAUUUCUCAUUUUUUUCUUGGCUUAGAGUCAAGAUGAAAAAUGAUAUUUGAAUCAAAGACAUUGUUUUGUUAUAUAGCCACUCCUUUCUAAAAUGCAAAUCCACCCUCCCCUCACCAAUGCUUUAUUCUUUGUGCGCGCACACACACACACACACACACACACACACACACACACACACAGACAUACACAGAACCAGCACCCAAAUGGUAGAGGAGGUCCUUCCAAGACUUCUAGGACCUGGAUCAUGUAAGCAGUAGAUGAGAAAAUGAAGUAAGAGAUAUAGAGUAAUAACAAUAAAAGUCAAUGAUUUCAUUUUACAAAAAAGUCAUUGUGUAGUACUCAGAUAUUUUUAAGAGCAAGUAUUAUUAUGACUAAAGUAUAUUAUACUUCUAAAUUAUUAUGAUUCUCAUCUAAUUUCAAGCCACACAUAGGCGCCAUUUGAAAGCAUUUUGUGUUACAACCUAUCAACAAAAAUCAACUAAUAGUUUUAUAACGUGCAUAGGUUUACCCCAUGGGGAAUUAAAAUUUUUAUCUGCAAGUAUUUCUGUUGUUGUGAGACUUUAGGACAAGACAACAUUUGGUGUUAACAUAGAAGAAUAUUCUAUGGCUUUUUUAGCUUUAAAGUUCAUUACUCUAAAAUAAAGUACACGUGGUAUUUUUUUCUUCCUAGUGUUCUCUUAUUAUAUGUAGAGUAUUUUCGGUUGUUGUUUUUAACGUAUACAUUAUUUUUAUUAAGUCAUUUCAUAAAAGAUAAGAUAUAUACUAAUAGACCCUUGGUUUUCUCCUAAUUUAAUUAUUUCAAGUCAAGCAAAAUUGGGCAAUUUUCUUUCAGGAAAAAAAAAAUAUUGAGCAUGAUUUUGAGGUAAAACUGAUUAUUUACAGCAUCUUUUCUCUAAUAGGCUAACAUUUAUGAUGGAUCUUAUUUCAAAGUUGAUUAUUCUCAAAGAAAAGUGGAGAUAUUAGAAUUUCCGAGUAAAUUGCAUUGUUUUAAAAAGUACUUUAAUGCAUUGUUCACAUUGUUGCCAGCUAUUGACCAAAAAAGAGAAGAAGAAAAAAGAAAUAAAAAAAGCAGUAUCUGCUCCAAACGUCAAGUUUUGCAGUUUGAAAGACUUGUACAUUAUAAUUGUUUUUUUCUUUUUUGGAAAGCAGUAGUAAUUAAUACCAAAGGCAUAGACAAUUUAGGGCCAUAACCUCCCUUCCCCCCUCUCCACCUUUUUUUUUUUUUUUUUUUUUUUUUAACUUUAACCAUGAUAGGCAUCUCUGCAAGGUAGGUUUUAACAUAUUUUUUUCCUAAUUUUUUUCCCUCCAUUCAGUAAGAAGGAUAAGCUUUUAGAGUACCCAGUCACCGUGGUAACUGCCAAAAAAAUUCUCCUGAAGUUUGAAGAGGUCAGCUAGCAGGGUCAACAACCCUGGCCUCUCUCUGAGCUCGGUCUAGCAUGCCCCAGCCUGCGGUUGGAGUGUCAGGCCAGAUCUGACCCUGGGAGGUGGACCAUUCUGGCUCUGAUAUAAAUUUUUCGAGUCAGUUCAUGGCCUGGACUCUCCAGGUGGCCUCCAAAAUCGAUUUUGACCCCCUGACCCUGUCUCACGGAGGCAUAGCAUCCACCCUAAGUAAGGAUUUAGCCAGGAAUGACAGCUUUCCACUGAGUGUUAUUGGGGACAGUAUAAACAGUUUGGAAAGCAAGUAAGGAGGUGUGAGGGCUAGCAAUCAUUAAAAGCACAUUAAAAAACAAUUUUUAAAAAUCUUUAUUAGAGAAAGUUGUAAAUGCAUAUCUGUUACAGAAUUCCUGUGAUUUGUAGAGUUUUCUAGUCAGUUUUGAAUAUAAAUAGGUCACAUAUCUUUAUCUUUUUGCAUACUUUGUUACAAAUAUGCAAAUAAGAUAGGCAUACUUGCUACAAAAUAGGUACAGCAGGAAUGUAAUAUGUUCAGAAAAGGCAAACUGGUUAUUAAAACACAUUAACAGGUAAGGAGUUUCUAAUAUUUUAAAUACUAAAAUUUUACAUGUGUAUUUUGAAGUUUUUAAAAUGGAAAAAUAAAGAACCUUUAAAAAACCCAACAGUGUGGAAUAAAGAUAAACUUGUUGCACUCAAGGUACAUUUCUACUUUGUAAAGCAAGAAGCCAAUACACUCAGUUGGAUAAAAAUGAGAGAAAAAUUGUAAAUAUAGAGAGUUACAGCUUAUAGAGCUGAAGAGGAAUAAAACAAAAAAAAGUGUCUCUGAAUAACUUUAUGUAUUUUCAACAGUUUAAGAUAUCAGAAACUUGGAAAAUA
rnacentral:lncRNA from 1 species